UCGAGAAUCUUCCGCAAUGGGCGAAAGCCUGACGGAGCGACACCGCGUGCAGGAUGAAGGCCUUCGGGUUGUAAACUGCUGUCACGCUAUAGGAAUGUGCUGUCGUUAAUAGCGGCAGUGUUGACUAAAGCGAGAGGAAGCACCGGCUAACUCCGUGCCAGCAGCCGCGGUAAGACGGAGGGUGCGAACGUUGUUCGGAAUCACUGGGCAUAAAGCGCGCGUAGGCGGUCCACUAAGUCAGGUGUGAAAUCCCCCGGCUCAACCGGGGAACUGCACCUGAUACUGGUGGGCUCGAGGACGGUAGGGGUGAGCGGAACUCCAGGUGGAGCGGUGAAAUGCGUAGAUAUCUGGAGGAACACCUGUGGCGAAAGCGGCUCACUGGGCCGUAUCUGACGCUGAGGCGCGAAAGCUAGGGUAGCAAACGGGAUUAGAUACCCCCGUAGUCC
rnacentral:rRNA from 1 species